AACUGCUUUGUAAUAUUCUAUCGUACGUAGCUAUGGUGAUUGUAAAGUAUAAAAUCAUUGGAAUUGAAUUUAUACGUAAUUCUACAAUUAAAAUUCAUCUUGUCAAAGAUAAACAACCGUUUAGACAUUUCUAAACGGUAGCGGUAUCUAUAUACAUUAAAUUGAAUUAAUUAACGCGGAUUUAUGUAGAUGGCAGGACGAUUGCGCCGAUUGUUGACCACUAUCAAAAAUCGCGCCAAAUUAGUGAACUCGUGAUCUCCCAUUCCGCCGACUGUUCUUCGUGAUCCACUUUAAACUUACAAGAGUUCUUUAGUCUUUAGUUCUUUAUCGUAUCCUUCUCGGUCGAUUCUCGAAUCUAUUGAACGUCUACCCGAUAUUCGACUCGUGAUACUAGCAGUGUAGUGUAUCCGUCAAUUUAAUAAAGCAUAUCCCCGUAGCACAUCUUGUCACAUUGUCAUCGUCGAAUAAACUCCUUUUCGAAGCGGUCUAACCUCUUAAAACGGUAAAGAACCUUUGGUCUUUACUUCUUUAAACGCGGUGAUAGAGUGGUUGAAAGGUGAGGAGGCACUCGAGCGGUGCCGGAAGAGACGCGAGGACGUACUGAAGGGGUUGGCUGGGCUGCCUUUAUGCCGUAACAACGAGGGCCCACUUCAUAGGGCAGGAAGCACAAAGAUGAACAAGGAGUGACACACACUUGGAAAGAAAGAAAGACAAAGAAGAAGAGACGGUGAAAGACACAGCCAGACAUUUCUUGUGAUAGAACACGUGUCUGUAUUCUUCAUACCUUGAACGAGGGUGUAUGUCAAGAGAAGGUGUGAUGAAAGGUUUUGACGCUUGACCCUUGCUGAACGUGUCGAUGAAGCGGCGAAGGAAAGGAAUGAGAAAUAACGUUAUCGGUAAAAGUAUUUUCUCUUACCUAAUAUUUCUCGCCGUACAAAUAUCAUAUUUGUAAGAGAGACCCAAGUUAUAUACUGAUACGAUAUCAAUGGUAUUAGGUGAGUCUCCCCUUCUAUAUAACAAUUUCAUCCGAGAAUUUUCUUCCUUUUCGAUACAGAUGCAAUCACCCUAUAAAACCUACCUAAACAUUUCUCGCCUCCGUUUCACAUCUCUAAAAUGCCACUUACCUAUCGAAUUCCAAGCAAGUACGCUUUAAUUGUAUCAAAGGAGCAAACUUUCUCCUCGAAUUAUCGGCUUAUUUAACCAACCAGCCUACGAUACUGUGCAAAGGUCUUGGACGAUCAUUCAACAGCGACUAAACGAAGCA